GACGAACGCUGGCGGCGUGCUUAACACAUGCAAGUCGAACGGAAAGGCCCUGCUUUUGUGGGGUGCUCGAGUGGCGAACGGGUGAGUAACACGUGAGUAACCUGCCCUUGACUUUGGGAUAACUUCAGGAAACUGGGGCUAAUACCGGAUAUGAGCUCCUGCUGCAUGGUGGGGGUUGGAUAGUUUCGUCGGUUGGGGAUGGACUCGCGGCUUAUCAGCUUGUUGGUGGGGUAGUGGCUUACCAAGGCUUUGACGGGUAGCCGACCUGAGAGGGUGACCGGCCACAAUGGGACUGAGAUACGGCCCAGACUGCUACGGGAGGCAGGAGUGGGGAAUAGUGCACAAUGGGCGGAAGCCUGAUGCAGCAACGACGCGUGGGGGAUGACGGCCUUCGGGUUGUAAACCGCUUUCGCCUGUGACGAAGCGUGAGUGACGGUAAUGGGUAAAGAAGCACCGGCUAACUACGU
rnacentral:rRNA from 1 species